rnacentral:rRNA from 1 species
UGAGUAACACGUAUCCAACCUGCCGUCUACUCUUGGACAGCCUUCUGAAAGGAAGAUUAAUACAAGAUGGCAUCAUGAGUCCACAUGUUCACAUGAUUAAAGGUAUUCCGGUAGACGAUGGGGAUGCGUUCCAUUAGAUAGUAGGCGGGGUAACGGCCCACCAAGACUACGAUGGAUAGGGGUUCUGAGAGGAAGGUCCCCCACAUUGGAACUGAGACACGGUCCAA